rnacentral:rRNA from 1 species
GACGGAGGGUGCUAGCGUUGUUCGGAAUCACUGGGCGUAAAGGGCGCGUAGGCGGCCUUGCAAGUCGGUUGGUGAAAGCCCGGGGCUCAACCCCGGAGGUGCGGCCGAGACUGCAGGGCUGGAGGCCGGAAGAGGAGGGUGGAAUACCCAGUGUAGAGGUGAAAUUCGUAGAUAUUGGGUGGAACACCGGUGGCGAAAGCGGCUCUCUGGUCCGGACCUGACGCUGAGACGCGAAAGCGUGGGGAGCAAACAGG